rnacentral:rRNA from 1 species
GUGGGGAAUAUUGGACAAUGGGCGAAAGCCUGAUCCAGCCAUGCCGCGUGUGUGAAGAAGGUCUUCGGAUUGUAAAGCACUUUAAGCGAGGAGGAGGCUACCGAGAUUAAUACUCUUGGAUAGUGGACGUUACUCGCAGAAUAAGCACCGGCUAACUCUGUGCCAGCAGCCGCGGUAAUACAGAGGGUGCAAGCGUUAAUCGGAUUUACUGGGCGUAAAGCGCGCGUAGGUGGCCAAUUAAGUCAAAUGUGAAAUCCCCGAGCUUAACUUGGGAAUUGCAUUCGAUACUGGUUGGCUAGAGUAUGGGAGAGGAUGGUAGAAUUCCAGGUGUAGCGGUGAAAUGCGUAGAGAUCUGGAGGAAUACCGAUGGCGAAGGCAGCCAUCUGGCCUAAUACUGACACUGAGGUGCGAAAGCAUGGGGAGCAAACAGGAUUAGAUACCCGUGUAGUCC